ACCUGGGUGGCUUAGUUGGUUAAGCAUCUGACUUUGGCUCAGGUCAUGAUCUCACAGUCCAUGAGUUUGAGCCCCAUGUCAGGCU
rfam:Felis catus isolate Cinnamon breed Abyssinian chromosome A3, whole genome shotgun sequence.